rnacentral:rRNA from 1 species
AGCUAGUUGGCGGGGUAAGAGCCCACCAAGGCUACGAUGGGUAGCUGGUCUGAGAGGACGAUCAGCCACACUGGAACUGAGACACGGUCCAGACUCCUACGGGAGGCAGCAGUGGGGAAUUUUGCACAAUGGGGGAAACCCUGAUGCAGCAACGCCGCGUGAGUGAAGAAGGCCCUUGGGUCGUAAAGCUCUUUCGGCUGAGAAGAAGGGCUAUGUGGCUAAUAUCCACGUAGUUUGACGGUAUCAGAAGAAGAAGCACCUGCUAACUUCGUGCCAGCAGCAGCGGUAAUACGAAGGGUGCAAGCGUUGUCCGGAAUUAUUGGGCGUAAAGAGCUCGUAGGUGGUUCGAUACGUCGGAUGUGAAAAUCAGGGGCUCAACCCCUGACCUGCAUCCGAUACGGUCGAGCUAGAGUUUGGUAGGGGAGACUGGAAUUCCUGGUGUAGCGGUGGAAUGCGCAGAUAUCAGGAGGAACACCGAUGGCGAAGGCAGGUCUCUGGGCCAAUACUGACACUGAGGAGCGAAAGCGUGGGGAGCGAACAGGAUUAGAUACCCUGGUAGUCCACGCCGUAAACGGUGGG